rnacentral:rRNA from 1 species
GUGCCAGCAGGCGCGGUAAUACCGGCAGCCCGAGUGAUGGCCGAUCUUAUUGGGCCUAAAGCGUCCGUAGCUGGCCGAACAAGUCCGUCGGGAAAUCCACGCGCUCAACGCGUGGGCGUCCAGCGGAAACUGUGUGGCUUGGGGCCGGAGGACUCGAGGGGUACGUCCGGGGUAGGAGUGAAAUCCCGUAAUCCUGGACGGACCACCGGUGGCGAAAGCGCCUCGAGAGGACGGACCCGACGGUGAGGAACGAAAGCCAGGGUCUCGAACCGGAUUAGAAACCCCGGUAGUCC